CACGACUUUUAUUUUUAUCUCUAGAAGGGGUCUUAGCCCUCCUAGUCUCCAGUUGCUGCUGACACGCCGACCGCCUGCUGCUUCAGCUAUAUCUCCCGACAGAUUCCACAGAAUUUCAUAGCGGACUACUUUGAGACCAGCAGCCAGUGCUCCAAGCCCGGUGUCAUCUUCCUAACCAAGAGAGGCCGGCAGGUCUGUGCUGACCCCAGUGAGGAGUGGGUCCAGAAAUACGUCAGUGACCUGGAGCUAAGUGCCUGAGGGGUCCAGAAGCUUCAAGGCCCAGCGACCUCGGUGGGCCCAGUGGGGAGGAGCAGGAGCCUGAGCCUUGGGAACAUCCCUGUGACCUCCACAGCUACCUCUUCUAUGGACUGGUUGUUACCAAACAGCCACACUGUGGGACUCUUCUUAACUUAAAUUUUAAUUUAUUUAUACUAUUUAGUUUUUAUAAUUUAUUUUUGAUUUCACAGUGUGUUUGUGAUUGUUUGCUCUGAGAGUUCCCCCUGUCCCCUCUGCCUUCCCUCCAGUGUGUCUGGUGACAACCGAGUGG
rnacentral:sRNA from 1 species